GUUGUAAUAUUUUAAUUGGAAUUACUUUAAAUUAUUAUGAAAUAUAAAAUUUAAAAUAUGUUAAAUAUAUAUAUUAAAUUAUUGAGUUUUUAAAAGAUUUAAUUAUUGAAAUUAUGAAAUAAUCUUAUAAUUAUAAAAAAAUAUAAUAUUUGUAAAUAUUUAGAUAUUUUUAUUUCUUUAAAUUUUUAAUAGGAUUUAAAAAUUUUAUAAAUUACUAAAUUAGAGUUUGUUUCAUUA
rnacentral:tRNA from 1 species